rnacentral:rRNA from 1 species
UACAGAGGGGGCAAGCGUUGUUCGGAAUUACUGGGCGUAAAGGGCGCGUAGGCGCCUUCUAAGUCGAACGUGAAAUCCCCGGGCUCAACCCGGGAACUGCGUCCGAGACUGGAAGGCUCGAAUCCGGGAGAGGGAUGUGGAAUUCCAGGUGUAGCGGUGAAAUGCGUAGAUAUCGGGAGGAACACCUGUGGCGAAAGCGGCUCUCUGGACCACAACUGACGCUGAGGCGCGAAAGCUAGGGGAGCAAACAGG